CUGAGCUAAAUCCCCAGCAACUUUAGGGAAUUAUAUUGACAAAAUAUUACAUUGCAAGAGUUUGUAUUUUAUUUUGCUCCAAUGAUUUUAUAGCUCUUGUGAUAUGGUACUAUUGAAAUGUAAAAUAUUCCACUGUUUGAAAAAGAAAACAUAUAUCACGAAGAAUAUUUCCUUCUCCCAGCAACAAUGCCUCAAAUGCUUCUUUCAUUGAAUGUGCCUGCCUAACUAAUUUUGGAAUAUGUGCACACUUAAGACUUGGCAUCAUACUUCGCAUACUGAAAGAAAAACAAAACCCUGUUUUGAAAGUCUUUAAGGUUAAGCACUUCAGAGGCUGAGACAGGAGGAUCACUAUGAGUUUGAGGCCAGCCUGAACUACAUAGUGAGACCCUGUCUUAAAAACACAAAAAACGAGAAAAUACUUAACAUUUAAGGUUAAGAUGGCAUAAUUAAGUAGAAAAUGUUCUCCUUUACCAGCUGUCUCAAAAAUUUCAUGUCCAAUCUUAUCAGCAAAAUUCAGAAGCGUUGGUAGACCUUUUUCAAAAAUCAUACAAAGCUUUAUUUGCAUUUUAUACAAAGGCCAGUAUUUCAUGGAUGUUUAUUGCUCUCUGAGGUCUGAAGGGAGAAAAUAGCUUUAGUAAGGAUGGGAUUCUUAUUAAAAUGAAAGUGUUAUACAUGGUACAUGAUCUUGUGUUUUUUAGCUAUAUAGCUCAGAAGCCCAUUUAGUAUAUUUAAACUGUAAAUUUUGCAUGCACCCACGGACUAAACUGUAAAUUUUGCAUGCACCCACGGCUAAUUAAGCUUCUAGAAAAUAUCUUUUUACCUAAGUGCUUCUGGGGUCUAUAAGGUGAUUGAAUCAGGAGUGGAUAAAAUUAUGUUUGAGUUACUCUUCUACUUUGCUUUAUGCUUCCUAGGUGAUAUGCGGAGUUCAAUCAAAGUGCAUUCUAGUUGUCCUCACACAAAACUACUUUUGGGAUUUGAUAUGUUCAGGCAGGUACUUGUGGUUGCCAUAAUUAAGGAAUUUAUAAUAUUAAUAGGGCUGGCAGCUUUGGAUGUACCUUCUGUCCACUCCUGUUACCAUAUUUAAAAAGCAGAAACAAAUAUUUUGUCUGGCACUAGUUUCUAUAAAAGGUUUUACUACUAGUGAUAAUAACAGGACCAGCAGAUGAGGAUCAGCUUUCCAGUGGCUGCUAGAAUUAUAUGAUUUGAAUACAUUGUAUUUUAGUAAUUUCUCACACAUUUGCUGUUAGAUGUGGGGAAAAUACCUAUUCCACUGAUCAAGUUACAGAAUGAACGUAUUUUAAAUUUAUUUAGGGGGAAAUGCCCCUCUCCCCCCCAAAAAAGCAAAGAGUGGAAUUGUAGUAGACAAAAGGAGCUGCUCUUUUUCCUUUGUUUGCUUGAUCAUUGGGAUUUAAAAAUUUUUUUAAUGCAUGUCUUUUAAAUUAAUUGGGUAAUGUUUUUCUAAAAUUAAAAUUUUCUUCUUCCUAUAGCCCUGCCAUAGGACAGGCUGAGGCUGAGUCUCAGUGUUGCCCUGUUCAGUCUGAGCAGCAGAAUUUCAGCAUUUGCUACUUACUGGUAGAGAAGAAAAAUCCCACAGCACUGCCAGUACAGGUUAGUUUAAUCUGUAAGUACCUGAUGUUCCUAUUUUUUUCAAACAUAUCCAUAUAACCCACACAAGGAAGAAAGCUGUGCAGUACUUAAAUGUGAGUAUAACUAAUAAUAGAUCCAUUGGACACUUUCAAACACUUAGUACUUGGGGCAAAGUACUUCUAGGUUUGCUAGCUGCAGUUGCAAUAAUGGUUUAAUACUUUAUUACCUUGUACCCAAAUUAUGUUGUAUGUAAAAGGAAGAGUGAAAGAUCCAGUUGGUUCCGCCCUUGUUGGUAUACAAUAAAGAGUCCAGGACUUUGAGUCCAGGGUCUUUGACUUAAGCCACUCCAGUGGUGGUUCUCAUAUUCACCUUUUAACUUUACAGUAUGAAUCAACCAGAGAAUAUGUAAGUUUCCUCACUUCUAGCAGUGAUAAAUGAUGUGUAAUCAUAAGUUAGAAAAUAUUUUUAUACUAGUUAUUUGAUCUUAAGUGUUCUUAGUUACAAGUAAAUAAUGAUUUUUUUAUUCAUCUUUUUUUGUUUAAAAAAAAAGUUGUUAAUGUUGCUGUGCCCCCAGGGGUUCAUUGUACUUUGAACUAAAAAUAAUAUUCAGAUGAAAGCUGACUACUUGUCAAGAAACCUAGCAAGAUUUCUCAAGUAAUUUUUUUGGAAGGGCAACAAGGUUUUUGAAAGAUGUUAACAUUUUUUUAUUAACAUUUUUUCAUUGUAACAGAGUUCAUUGAACCAUUCUUGAGAGAUUUUCUUUAACCCUUAAAUAUUACACUUUAUGUUGGUACAACCUAAAAAUACUGAAGAGGGAGGAAUAAAGUCUACAACUUUGUACAAGCCUGAAGCAUCCUUCCAGAUCUGUAGCACUGAUGCUAAACUUGAUGGGUUCCUUCUCUUUAGCUUAAGCAUUAUGUUUAGCUUGAGAUGGUCUAGCCGUGAAAGUAGUUCAUCUUGUACUCUCUUACACUGGAUAGUGAUUAGCCAUUCUGAAAAUAGAACAUCUUUAUCUGGGAGUCCUGUGUUAAGUCUUUAAAAACAAAACCUAGGGGCAGGGAUUUACCUCAGUGGCGCCUUGCCUGCCUCGAAAGUGCAAGGUCCUGAGUUCGAUCCCUGGUACCAAAAAAAAAAAACAACCUGGGUUUGUCAAUUCAUAAGAGAUGUUUUAAGACAAAACUGCCCAAAGGCUUAAGUUUUGUUACCUUUCACAGUUUAAUCUGUAUAAGAAAUGGCAUAGAUACAGUGGAAAUGGUUCUCCUUCAAAUCAUCUCUUUUAAAGCUGCUUUUCUGGUGAGUACUAUCCUGUACUUCUAUGUAUCACCAUUUUUACCUUUUAAAAUUAACUGAAAUCGGACUGAAGAGGUGAGCAAUCUGAAUUUCAUGAUGUCCUUGGAUAUUACUUGCAUUAGGAAUCUUAGAAUGAUUAUUUUACCACCACACAUUUCCCCUACUUCUGCUUUACUUUUUCCCAACCUUCACUUAAUAAAAUAUAUAUACAAACUCAUAAGGCUUAAGGUUUUCCUUUUAGUUGGUAGCCAAAUGAUUUUUCUCAUUGCUUUUAAUUCUUGCAUAAUUUAAAAUACCAGAACUUCUUUGUGUCCUUAUUAAAGCUGACAUUGCAGUGACUCUUGACUAAUUCAGUUGGGAAAGAGGAGGGUUCAUCAAAAUUGGUCGUGCAGACCAAUUGAUUAUAAGGUUCUCUUUAAGUCUUAGUUUUCAAGUGUGUUAUUUCAUAAAUUAUUCAAAUUCUUUGGUUAAAUAUAUUGGUUUCUGGGACUUGUGUAUACCCAUAAAAAUUAGCCUUUGAGUGUUUAUGCCCUGUUUUAUCCUUAACAUGUACAACACAAGGAUUUCUUUCCCUCUGGUUUUUAGCCACAUUCCAGAUGAUGUCAAUAGAGUUUAAAGCUGUUCUCACAUUGUUUUCUGCUUAAUCUUUGUGAAUCUGUAAACUCUCAUGCUUUUUCAUAUAAGCAGUCAUAGUUUGCUAAAUAAAUAUGAAAUUAAUAAUCUUGAGUAUGUGAUACAGUAAUGUUCUUUUAGAUAAACACUCAAAGUAUGAACCCUCAAUUUGUGUCUUAAGAUUUAAUGGAAAGUAAGUUCUAAGGAACUGUGUCCUUUCCUAGCAGGAAAAACCAGACUGAAAAACUGGUAAGUAUGUAAUUUUAAGUGCAUGUCAUAGAGUAAGUAGUCACAUUUCCAUACUGUAAUAGUUAACAAGAAUUCUUAAAUCUCCUUUGCGACUUAAAGUGUAUCUCUUAACAUUUUUCACAAAUCUAUGUGGACAGUGAUUAAACUGAAGUAUACUUGUCUGGUUUUCUUUUUUUAGAAUUUUGUAUAGUAUUUUAAAUACUAAUUUUUUUAUUUCAAGCUUUUUUCAGGGUAGAAAUAAGUGGCUGUCAAAAGAAAAUAUCAAGAAGAUUACUUAAAUAUCUUCGUUUAAAACCCAGUAAUGACUUUCAGUUUACUUAAAUCUUCUGUUUUUCAGCUCUGGUUAAAACUGACACUAGGCAGCUGAUCAAAAUUUAAAAACUCAUUGUACUUUUUGUGGAAUAUUUUAGGAAUUAGUGCAUAAUUGUAAAAUGGCAUUAAGCUAUACUUGAUUUACAUAGAGGCUGUGGUUUUAAGGGAGAAAAAUUUGUUUAAAUUUGGAGACCUCAACCCUAAUGUACUAAUAAUUAAGAUAAUAGAGAUUAGGAGACCUCAACCCUAAUGUACUAAUAAUUAAGAUAAUAGAGAUUAAAGUGAAAAGUUUUUAUUUGGUGCAGCCAUGAAACAUGAUUAUUGGUCCUUUUUAAAAAUCAACCCAGUAUAACAUCUAUUUUAUGAAGUGAUACAAGAUCCCAGAGGGUUGUUAGAAAAGAGGGAGCCUGUCUCUUAAUUUAGUCUCAAGGCUUUACUCUCAGCCUUUAUUUUGUGAAGGAAUGCAGUAAAGAAUAAGUAACCAUAUUUGAACAAUAUGGUUGUAAGAAGUACCUUAACAGCACAUGGGGAGGAUAAAUGGCUAGUCUGAAAGUAUGAUUUAAAUGGUCUAGCUACCCAAAAAUCUUCCCUUAAAGCAUUUUUUAUGUAUCUGUAUUAGCUCAAUAAAGGUUGUAAUUACUAGCUUUUAAAUUUUAUCAGCAUUAAAGGUAUAAUACAUGGAUUAUGUGAGAGUUUUAAUUUUUCUUAUGCAAGUAAUGUUAGUACAUCCCUUCACUUGGUUAAAUAACUAGAAGCUUUUGGAAAACAAAACGAGAAAAUCACAUUUGCAGUAUAUAUGUAAGUUUAAUUUUUGUCCACCAAUAGAUUUUUUUUUUUUUUGGUACCAGGGAUCUAACUCAAGACCUUGUGCUUGUGAGGUAGGUGCAGUGCCUCUGAGCUAAAUCCCUUGCCCUGAGAGAUUUUCUUUUCUUUUUUCUUUUUUUUUUUUGUACCAGGGAUCCAACUAAGGACCUUGUGCUUGGAAGGCAGGCGACAGCACCACUGAGCUAUAUCCCCAGCCCCCGAGAUAUUUUCUUUAUGCAGUCAUACACUAAUUAGAUUAGAACUCAUGAAAGGACAUUGAAAUUGUUUUUCAUUUUUACAGUGCCCUAGGCACUGUUUAUUAGGCUUUUAAGUAAGCCAAAACUAAUGAAUAGUGAUUUCAUUAUCCAGUGAUUUUUAGUUUGUUAGAGAAUUACAAGUUUUACUUGGGCAUUAUUAAAAGUCAGUUUCUUUUUUUACGAGGAAAGGGUGGACUAUCUCCGUCAUUCAUUAACCUUUGAGUACCUGUUGUCUACAAAGAUGAAUAAAAUAAUUCAUUUGUUAUUUA
rnacentral:lncRNA from 1 species